rnacentral:lncRNA from 1 species
UACAGAAGUGAUACAAUUUACAACUAAAAAUAUGUAUUAUGGUUACAAGGGGAAAGUUCUUAGCUAUAUGUAUGGUAUUGAUCUCUCAAAUAACAGCUUUGUUGGAGCAAUACCACCAGAAUUUGGAAACUUAAGUGAGAUACUGUCAUUAAACUUAUCACACAACAAUCUCACUGGAUCUAUCCCUGCAACAUUCUCAAACCUAAAGCAUAUUGAGAGUUUGGAUCUUUCUUACAACAACUUGAAUGGUGCCAUCCCUCCACAACUUACUGAAAUUACCACACUGGAAGUUUUUAGUGUGGCGCACAAUAACUUGUCAGGCAAGACACCCGAGAGAAAAUUUCAGUUUGGGACCUUCGAUGAAAGCUGUUACGAAGAAAAUCCUUUCUUAUGUGGACCUCCAUUGCGAAACAAUUGUAGUGAAGAAGGAGUGCUCUCACAGCCAGUGCCUAAUGAUGAACAAGGAGAUGAUGGUUUCGUAGAUAUGGAGUUUUUCUACAUCAGUUUUGGUGUAUGUUACACAGUUGUGGUGAUGACGAUUGCAGCAGUUCUCUACAUCAAUCCAUAUUGGCGACGCAGGUGGUUGUACUUCAUCGACGACUGCAUAGAUACUUGCUACUAUUUUGUGGUGGCUAGUUUUCGAAAGUUCUCCACAUUCAGAAGGUGAAUUUGUAACUAGGGAGACGGUCGUUCCUAGUUUGUGAUGAUUGUUUGUCUAGCUAUUGGUAAUUUGUAGUGUACUGUCUCUAAGCUCAGCCUUUCUAUUUGAUUAGUUAUUUGGGCUAAAUAUAUAAGUUGUACUUCUCAUUGACUCAAGUGUGUUUACUCUUUCAACUCUCAAGACUUGUCUGAAAAUAAAUUGCCAAAACCACUACUAAAGUAUAAACAAAAUAUUCUAUGCCUUUUUUUGAAAGGCGACCCCACCUCAGUUAUUCAAUCAAAGCAUUGAAAUCGGAGCAAGAAGAUCCACCUUCUUCAACAGCCUUCCUGGCCGUUUCUUUGCUCCGCUACUCAUUUCCUCUACAGCUUCACUUUUAACAUGAUCUCCAUGCACUCUAAGCCAUUCCUUAACUCCAGUUCUUAAAACAUCAGUCACCAACUUUUCAUUAUAGAAUUGCUCAACAAAUAUUGGUCUCCUAAGCACACAAAAAAAAUUGUCCUUAUCAACAACCAUUCUUAUUCCCGUUUUAAUACUCUCCUAAGCACAAAAAAAAAUUGUCCUUAUCAAACAUGCAGCUAUGACUUGAGACAUUCAGAAUUUCAACCUCAUUUUCUAUCAAAUUCAACAAUAUUGGAUAUGGUCAUGAUUCAAUGGAAUAAGUCCCACUUCUUUUCUUGAGACCUUUUUCCAUUGAAAUCUUGCAAGACUAUGGCAUACAUGAACUCCAUCUAAUAAACAGUAAAUCACAGAAAUUACCUUCUGAUAGAUCUCCUCUUGCCAAUCAGCGCCUUUUGCAUGUCCAGUCUGUGCUGUAGAAUCUAGGGAUGCUACAAAAAUUUCAAUGCGGACAACAAAAUAUUAGAAUUCAUGUAUUUUUGUGUGUUUUCCAUGUACAAGGGUAUUUCUGUAAUUUUAACACCUGCUGACAAUUUUGAAAUAUUGCAAGGCUCAGUUUUAUUUUCCAUUUACUAUUUAAUUAUUCCCAAAGUAUAGCGAGCUUCAUUAGGUUUUUCCUAUUCUAGAUAGGACUCUUAGUAUUUUCCUAUAUAGGAAUACAAGUCCUUUCUGUAUUAGGAACUUCAUCUAAAUGUUAUGUGAUCAUAUAAAUGCAGAAUGAGAGGGUGAACAAAUGCGCUGGAGGGUAUGAUGUGAUAACAAAUGCGUGUGUGAUUACUAAUGCCACUAGUGGCAGCAGUGGCACAUAAAGCUACCUAAAAGAGCAUUGCUGACUUGAACCAUUAUGAGAGGUGAACAGUUGGUGCACCGCACUGUAGGGCAUCGUGUGGUUACAAAUGCAUGUGUGAUUACAAUAGUUCCAAUAUCAGUGGCACAUAAAGCUACCAAAAAGAGCAUUACCUGCAUGUUAGGAUUCUGGACAACAGUGUUGGGGAUAGUCUGGGUUACACCAGAGACAGGAGGCAGUGCCGCUUGUAAACCAGCAUAACUUUGAACUCCAUUAGAUGCCAUGCAAUUCUGCAUGUUCUGUGAUACCAACUGCUGAUGUGCAUACCCUUGAUUCUGAACUUCAGGGGGCAUACUAUGGGAUGCUGUUCAAGAUAAAAGGCAAAAGGGAAAAACAAAUGUAACAUCGGCAGUCCACACAUAAAGUUAUGAGCGAAAGAAUUGGGAUGGAUUUGAUUCAACCUGACAAUUUUCGGGGAUGGGGGAAGAAGAGGCGGCUGAAAACAAAAAUAAUAUGACAAUUUUCAGGGUGGGCGAAAGAAAAGGAGGAGGCAGAAAACAAAAACAAUCUGUAAUAUUCUUGCAUAACAUUCAUCAAUUACUCAACUUUUUGAUUAAAGCAUGCCAUACACAUAGCAAUAUGUUGCAAUAAAAUGCAAAAGAGUUUGAUAACAAUGCGACAAACAAAACAAAAGGUAAGAUGUUUAGAAAUUCAAUGCUCGGCAGCAUUAUUAUAUAUGAAAAAAGGAUCAAAUACUUUCUCUCGGAAGAAAAGCAAGAAAGUGACGUCUUACCUCCUAAACAGGAAAAUCUUUAAAAUCUACCAUCUCAGUCAUAAAAUAUAAAAUAGCCAUGCAUCACAGUCCUUGUUCCUUAACAAGUUAAGGAUGAAACACUUCACAUGCAUUAUAGAAUUAGCAUUGUGGAGGUGAUCAUGAGAUUUUUCCAGCAAGGCGAUAUACAUAGCAAUAUGCAGCAAUAAAAUGUAAAAGAGUUUGAUAACAAUGCUAGAAGAAAAACAAAAGGUAAGAUGUUUAGAAAUUCAAUGCUCCGCUGCAUUAUAACCUGCUGGAUCCAUGGGGGCAGUGGGCAUGGCUUUUUGAGACCUGAUCUCCAUUGAAAGCAUCUCCAGAGAUAUUUUACGCAGAUAAUCAUACUGAAAUCAGAUAUUAAUAACAAAACAUUAGAUCUCAUAGCAAUCCAUGUUACAAGAGGAGGAAAAUGGAUAUAUGCUCUAUCAUUUCAUCUUUUGUGAGGAUAUACUAUAUUUGAAGGGUAUAGCGAUACUAAUUAGAUAUCCAAUAUUAUUCAAAAUCCACAAAUAGAUUUAUCUUUGUUAUCGGAGAAGCUAUAGUCUUUUGAAAAUUCUUUAAACAAACAUGCAUAUCCAUAUCCAUGAAGGAGUUUGAGUUUACAACUUUAGAUAAAGAAAAGAAGUAGAAUAGCUUCUAAAACCUUACUGAGGAUAUUCCCUUUCAAUUGUAAAUUUGAAUAUCCUCAGUAAGGUUUUAGAAGCUAUUCUACUAUAUAUAUAUAUAUAUAUAUAUAUAUAUAUAUAACUGCAAGUAUUGACAUAAUUGUCAAUAUUUUAAGAUAGUUGAUCUAAAAUCAGUUUAAUUUUAUUGACCAUAUAAAAUAAAAUGAUAAUAUCAUGGAUUUGCUAAUAAAAUGCUUAACAAUAGAGCAAGCCAAUAAUCAUCGAGGGGAAUGAGAUUAAGACACAGUUCAAUGAAUUGUCAUGAUAGCGACCCAACCUAGUUUACUGGAGAUCCCAAAUUUAGGUUCAAAGAGGCAACCAAAUCUUGUGUCAAUUCAAUAAUAUCCCGUUUACCCAUUCAUAUGAUAUAAAGUGUUAUCUGUAGUGAAAAUAAGAUAAGCUAAGAUUUUAAUAACUUUUAUAGCUUGAGAAAUUCAAGUGAGGUAUUACAUGAUACUUUUAAUAAGAAUCACCUAUGUGAGUUUGAAACAAGGCCACUUCUAUGAGAAUUGAAAAUGCAAAUUCUCUAACGCUCUCUGAAAUGAAGACAUAUUUGAGGCUAAAAUGAACACAACCGUGAGAACCAAAAUUGUAAGAAAAUAAACUGUGUAAUCUCUAUUAUCUAGUUUCACACAAAAGGUUAAACAACUCAAGACAUCAUGUUCACUAGUUAGCCAAGUGAAUCCAAUAGUUUUAAUUAUGGAAGGUUAAAGGCUAAAAACUAUCAUGCUUGAUGCAAUACUUUUCGCUACUAGUCUCUAUUUUUUUGCCUACUUUGUAUUUUAUUCAGAUGUAAUGUUUUGAAAUAAAUGAGUUGGAAAAUACAAUAAAGCCCUUGAAGGCUUAAAAGUUGGAAUAAAUGAAUAAGUGGUAUAGUGGUAAUUCAACAAAACUUGAUAAAUAUAAAUAGGAAGUAAAAAAAGAAAAAAGAGAGAGAUCUGAAAUUAGAGAGUAGAACCGGCAGGAGUGAAGUGAGAAAGAUGAAGAAGAGAAAAGAGGGGAAAGUAAGGGAAAAAGGAAAGGAGUUUGAGGAAAUAAGUUAAAAGGGUAAGAUUUAUGCUUUAAUGUGUAUAAUAUGUUUUAAUUAAGCUUUAAUUUUGAUUUUGAUAAAUGUUAGGGUUUUGAAUAUUAUGUUUUGGGUUUAAUUGAUGAAUUAAUAUGGAUGUUAUGGGGUUGAUUAUUGUGGGUAAUGGAUUGUUAAGUUGAAUUUGAGAGAUUGUAGAUAAAAAUGAUGAUUUUGAGUUAUGGUUUUGUUUGAAUGGUGAAUUUAUGCUAUAAAUCAGGGAUAACAGUAGGUAAUCUGUUAAAAUUCUGGGUUGGAGGUUGAAGAUGACGAAAAUUCAAUUUGGUCCCUCAAUUUGCAAAAAUUACAGUUUAGUCCCCAAACUUUGGGAAAUUACAAAUUGGUCCCUGGAGCAUAUUCCGAGAUUCUGAACAGAAUAAAAUAUGAAUUAUGGGCAGAAUUACAGUAUAGUUAUGAAAUUUUAAACAGUUUUAAUUUGGUCCUUCAAUUUGACAAAAAUUACCAUUUGACCCUAAAAAUUUGGUAAAAUUCCAGAAUGGUCCCUGGAACAUAAUGAGAUAUUCUGGACAGAAUUGAGGAUGAAUUAUGGAAAUAAUUCCACUAUAGUCAUGAAUUUAUGAUAUGUUUAGUUUGGCCUCCAAUUAGAUGAAAAUUACAAUUUGGCCCUAAAAAUAUAAUAAAUUCCUGAUUAGUCCCUAUCUGUAAUAUUAGCUUUUCCAGAUUAGUUUGAUGAAUAAUUAAGGGUUAUUUAGUGAAUUAUUACCAAUUUUAUUAGUUAUUUUUAUUAUGGAUUAGAUUUCGAGAAAACCGUUAAAUUUUGGGUUUUUAAGAAAAUUGACUAGUUAGUUCAAAAACAUAUAGGGUUACAGAAUACAGCCUUAGUUAAGUGUAUUAAAUAGUUUAAAUGUUCUUUCGAGUCCUUUUUGAAUAUGUCUCCUUUGUAUUUAGAUAAUCCUGAUAUUCUACCGGCGGGACGUUAGUAGGAUUUCCUUCGGUAUCUGCUUUUGACUUCUGUUUGCUUUUGAGUCAGGUGAGUGGAUAAUUUUCCAUAUGCAUGAGAAAUAUUAUAAAUAUUUGAUUUGUUAAUAUGAAUUGAAUCACGCUUCUUAAUAAUAUAUAUGUUGAUUAUUAUCCUUGAUAUGAUAAAGCAUGAUCAAUUAUUGAAUUUGAAUUCUUGAUAUGAACCAACAUAUAUUUUGAAUUGACUUCUGAAUUGAUAGCUCCUUAUUUGAUUGAUGUCAUGAGUUGAGCUUUGAGAUAUGAAUAUGUUUGUUAGAUUAUGAUUAUGAAUCUAUGGCAUGUCAGUCAGAAUACCCAUGCUAACAGGGUAGUGUUAGUCUUUGUGCAAAUCGUAUCUGAACCCUAGUUGGUUGGGGGAGUCAUCAACUUGUGUGGACUGAUCAUCCCACAGUACGGAGCCUCAUGCUCAUUGCAUUUUGAUUUUCUGAUGAGUUUUACCAUAUGUUCUUGUUAUGGCCUACUUAAGAAACCUUUCCUAUAAGAACCUAGAGCCAUAAUUGUAUAUAUUUUUCAUUGUUGUAUUACCUCGUGUGUGUAUAUUGAACGUUAUCUACUCACUAAGUUGUUGAACUUGUUGUAACCCAUUUUUUGGUCCCCACAUAAAAAAUAAUAAAAAUUCAAAAAUUCAAAAAAUAUAUUAUAAAAAAAACGCAAAAUGGUGCCGUUUGGAAACGGCACCAUCGUCUUCUUCCCUGCACACGCAGAGAACAGGGGAGAAGAAUUUUUCUUCUCCACUUUUCGCCGAACUUCUUUCCCGGAUUUGGCGCAAUAAGACGCCUACCAUUCGACGCCCACUUGCCUCCUUUUUAUCCAUUGAACAGAUAGUGCAGGGGCGGCCAACAAUGGCCGCCCCACCAUUCGCCCCCCCUGUUUUUGCCUAUAAAAACAGGGGAGGAAGAAGAAAAAAAGAAAAAAAAAGAGAAGACCAAGAGAGGGGGAAGAGAAGAGAAGGGAGAGCAAAGAGAGGGAGAAGAGGGAGAAGAGAGGAGAGAAGGCAGAGAAGAGAAAGGAAGAAGCAGAGAAGAAAACAGAGGAGAGAGAGAAGGAAAACGCAGAGCCACCGCCGGCCACCCCACUGUCAGCGCCGCUUCCUGUCGCCACCAGCAGCUCCGCCAUCAACGACAGCCACCACAAGUCAGCCCUCAAACCCUUAUCUCGUUUUACUGUUCAUCUUCUUGCAUGCAGAACGUGCACUGUGCACGUUCUGCAAGCCAUGAAUUAAUUACCCGGUUACUGUGCAUGGGCACAGUAACUGGCUAAUUAAUUCACUGGUUACUGUGAACACAGUAACCCGGUUACUAUAUGCACAGUAACCAGCCCAUUUGGGCGUGGGCUGGGACGUCAGCCAGCCCAUGUAAAUGGGCCAGGUUUGGCCCAGCCCAUGCAAUUGGGCCUGAUCCGGCCCAUUUAAAAAAAAAAAUAUUAUUUUUUAAAAAAAUAUUUAUGAUGUUCCACUUUUGAUUUAUGUUAUUUUUAUUAAUAUCGGGUAGUAUUUUUAUGUAAAAAUACAAAUCUGGUAUUAAACUACCGGUUUUUCAUCAAAAACUUCCAAAAAUACAAAAAAAUUAAAAAAAAAAAGAGAAAAAAUGUUUUUGUGCAUACGGCCAAGUGUCUCAAAGCUAAAAAAUCAUAUUGUAUUUUUCAUACACCAAAAAACAAUGUUUUAGCAUGCAUUUUGGCUUUAAUAACCAGUUUAUUAAAGUCAAGAGAAUAUUGGCCAAAAUUUCAAAAACAACAAAAAAUUUAUUUUGUUUGUCUCUUAGUAUCCGGGUAUGACAUUACAUGUAAUGCAUAUUCCGGAUAUUAAUUCUUUUCGGACAAUCGAACCUGGGGUAUGACAUUACAUGUAAUGCGUAUUCCGAACAAUACAAACCACAACAGACUUAGAUUUUAUCAGACAAAACAAUGCAGCUACCUUAGGUAGGGCGUAGUUGGGGUUAAUACCUUCCCUUUACGCAACCAGUCUCCGUACCCGAUCUCUAAAGACCAGUUAAGGUUCCUAGUAACCAGAAUACUAGGUGGCGACUCCUAAUCCAUAUUUUCACAUUGUAGAGACAAGAAUUCCUUGUCUCUCCCUAUUUUUUCCAGGAAUGAAUAUUCCGUUUUUUCCUUGAGGGUGGACGAUCGCUGCGCCGCCGCACACGUGCGACAGAAUGGCGACUCCACUGGGGACUUUGUGGACUAAGCUUUGUUUUUGUCUGAUUUAUUGUGUUUUUUGUUGUGGUUUGCGUGUUUAUUUUUAAAUAUGCAUUUCCUGUAUUUAUUUCUUACGCGCUUUAAUUUCUAUACAUCUUUGUUCAUGCAUUGCAUAAAACUGCCUCAUGCAUCACAUGCUUUAUAUUUUUCAAGCACACACAAGCCUUUAAGUUAAGUGGGAAUUAGCGAUCUGCCCUAUGACUAUUGGUCGGGUUCAGAUGCGUGAAACACCCAACUCAUAUCUGAGAGCCUGCUUGGUAAUGGUGGGCAUACAUGCCUUAACUGUUCUUUGCAACGCCCCCAUACUGCCUUUACGAAGGACGUCACUGGGCAGAUAUGAGACCCUUUUGAGACCAGGUAGAAAACCUAUUCAUGAAUAGACCCUGUCUUUAGUUUGUAUGCGCUAUCUUUCUUUACAGAAUAUGUCAUACAAAAAAAAAAAAAUCAUGUCACCCCUUUGAGGGGCAAGUGCAUCAUAUAAAUUACAUGUUCAAACAUUUAACAUGCAUACAUGCCAGAUCGAAAUAUAGGUCCCCAAAAAGUCUACAACACCCGACUUCGAGCAAGAAACAUGGAAGAUGAAGAGCGUGCUCAACGUGAGGCCUAUUUGCACGACGAGUUGGAGUCUCUGAAAAUAAGUGUGGCUCACCUCACUAGCUUACUCAAGCAAACACUAAGAAAUACCUCUGAUGAAGGUCCUUCUAAUCAACCGAUCACCUUUGAUCCGGCUCCUACUACAGUUCAGCCUGAGGAAAGAAUGAGCGAACAUGGUCAAGAACCUCAGCAAAAUCCAACAUUUGUGCAGUCAACGACACCUGCACCAUCCCCAACAGUCGUGAAGGCAUCUGCUAAUGAGUCCCACAAGGCUAAGUCAUCUGAUAGCAUUGAUCAAGCUAAGAUAGAGGCGUUGGAAGCCAGACUCAAAGCCAUUGAAGGGAUAGACUUAUAUGACCCGGUACGGGCAGCAGAGAUGUGUUUGGUCCCAAAUGUGGUUAUCCCAAAGAAAUUUCGUGUUCCUGAAUUCAUCAAAUACAGUGGAACACAAUGCCCCAUGACUCAUCUCAGGUCCUACUGCAAUAAAAUGGCUGAGGUAGUACAUGAUGAAAAACUACUAAUGCACUUUUUCCAAGACAGUUUAAGUGGGGCAACUUUGAGUUGGUACAUGAGAUUGGAUAACACAAAAAUUCGCAACUGGAAAAAUCUUGUGGAUGCUUUCGUCAAGCAAUACAAUACAACAUGGACAUUGCGCCCGACAGAACCAGUUUGUCCAAUAUAGAGAAAAAGGAUAAAGAAAGCAUAAGGGAAUAUGCUCAAAGAUGGCGAGAAUUAGCUGCUCAAGUACAUCCCCCACUUCUGGACAAAGAGAUGGUCUCUUUAUUUGCCAACACACUCAAAGCACCAUAUUACGAACAUAUGAUGGGUAGUUCAGCCCAACAAUUCACUGAUGCUGUGAUAGUGUGUGAACGCAUAGAGCAAGGUGUCAAGAGUGGUAGAAUUGCUGCACCAACCGAGAAAAGAGGCGUCGAAAGAAAAGAGGUUCACCAUGUUGAAGAUGGCUACAUGGGUAAAACAAAUACAUCCCAAAAUUACCAUACUCCAUCCCAAAUUGCCAACAUCAAAAAACCUGAACCCCAAAACUUUCAAGCCAAAAGCCAAAUUGGAAAUUUCCAAAGGGUUCAAGAACAACUACCUCCACUACCGUUACCCCUGAAUGAGAUGUAUCAAAAGCUAUUGAGCAUCGGGCAAAUAGCUCCAGAACCUCUAACACCUCUGCAGCCACCUUAUCCUAAUUGGUACAAGCCAGAACUCAAUUGUGAAUACCAUGCCGGUAUUACUGGGCAUAGCAUCUAUACCUGCAACGCCUUCAAGAGAAAGCUUCUGCAAUUAAUCAAGGCUGGGUGGAUAGAAUUGGAAGAUGCCCCCAAUGUGAAUACGAACCCGUUACCUAAUCAUGCUUGAAGCAUAUUAGGAUGGAAAGUUUGGGGAAUUGGAAAGCAUCAAUGGUCCAACAUGAUAGCUCAACUUUUGACCGUGGUGUUGUUCCGCAUUGUCUUUGAGUCCUCUACGCAGAGCUUUUGAGAGGAGGUUUUAGCCUAUGAACAUAUUCACCAAAGCCUGCCUUGUUAUUGCCUUUUGUUAAUGCUUUUGAAUAAGACUUUCUCUGUUAAUGAGCUUCUCUUGUGAAAUAAGAUCAUGUGUUUUCUUGUGUUCACAUCACACUCUUCUUUGUUGUUAUUACAUGUAAAUAACAUUUUGAGCGCAACUUUGCUCACAACACUACAACAUGAAGAAUCCUUUUCUUUUUUUCUUUCUUCCAAACCCAUACAUUAAUCUCAUAUGUUUUCAAGGAUAUUUUUUUGGGACCUCCAAAGUGAGUACAAAAAAACAAAAAUCGUGUUGAUAUUUGUCCAAAACAAAUGCAUUUUGAAAAUUCAAGUGAUUCCUUAAAUAGGUACACAUAUACCUAGAAAACUUGAAAGAAAAAAAGACAACAAAGACAAACAACACUAUGAGGUGACUCAAAAGCUGAGUUUUAUUUGACUGAAUAAAUCAUUUGGCAUACGCGCAUGAAAGCAAGACCUAUCGAUCCUCAAUGCAUGAGUUUGAGAUGAGGAAAGGCCAUCUUUGAUAAUCCUUUCACAAGGCUAAAAAAUAUCCUUUGCAGUCCCAUUUUGAGCCUAGUAAUGUUUUUUGGAAAUAACCUUGACUAGGAUCACACCCCACACUGGGGGCAAAAUAAUAGAGUUUUUACCCAUCCAGACAAAGCAGUGAAGAUGGGUGCUGGAUUGAUCAUGUAAUUUUUAAUCUUUCAUUAUCAUCUAAAUGAAGCAGUGAUUGGUUAAGAAAAGAAAAGAAGAAGAUCUAAAGGAUCUAAAAGAUUUGAGCUUCUCAUACAAACAACUGAUAUGAUCGUGCUCAACCAAACAAAAAUGGAGAAAACAAAGAGAAAAGCCCAAACCCGACACUGGGGGGCAUGAAGACUAUUUUGAAAAAAAACAAAUCCAAAAGACAAAAGGUCAGGAAACAAGCACAAGUGAUCCCUAGUCUUGAAAUCCCUUAAACACCUUUUGAGCCUGCAACAUAUCCAUUUUCUUCGUAACCAAUAGCCAAAGCCUACAUUACAUACCUGAUAAAGCCCUUUCUGAUCAAAGGCAAGCAAUCUGGAUGGUAGGUAGUGCUUUCAUGUGCAAGUCAAAUCAUUAUUCAUGCAAAUAAAAUAAAUGCUUUGAAUCAAUUCGGUUCUCAAUAACCCUCAAAUUGAAAUUUAAACCUUUUGUGACCAACCAGAUGUCACUUCAUCUUUAAACCAAAAGCAAAAAGCUUUCAUCACUUCAAGAAACCUGUCCAUAGGAAUCGCUUGAAUUUUUUAGAACAAGUUUAUUUUGAACCAAUAUCAAAAUCAUUUUUGAGUUUGGAAUAACUUGGAAGUUCCAAAAAUUUUGCAUGAAAACAUUUCAUUGUACAAAAAACCCAAACUUACUUUCACAUAUCCUCACCCCAAACUAAACCCAAGUUGAACACUUGGGGGGCAUGAUCAAGCUGGGGGGCAAUCAAACACACAUGGUAGGGCUGUCUCCAUGAUUCCUUUUCUAAGGAAAAUGUCGGGCAAAAUUGGCAACUCUUGAGAUAAAGGGUGAAGGACAAAGAUGUAUGAUGACAUCAAACCCUUCCCAGAGGUCAAGAUCACAAUGUGUAACCCGAGUAAGCAAAGUGGAAAAGCCAUCGAAGUUUACUACCAACACUACAACUUUUGAGAGAAAACAAAGACACCAUGAAGAAAUGGGGGCCUAUAUUUCUCAGGUAAGUAUACAUGCAUAUCAAUCAUAAUGCAUUUUCUUACAACAUUCACAGAUCAGUGUUUCAACAUCAUCCCUUAGGUAGUGCGUUUUAUAACCCUACCUCCUUUUGAGUGCGCCUUUGAGCCCUCACCUCCAUUUUGAGUGCGCCUUUGAGCCCUCAUCCCUUUGGUAGUGCGUUUUCUAACCCUACCUCCUUUUGAGUGCGCCUUUGAGCCCUCACCUCCAUUUUGAGUGCGCCUUUGAGCCCUCAUCCCUUUGGUAGUGCGUUUUCUAACCCUACCUCCUUUUGAGUGCGCCUUUGAGCCCUCACCUCCAUUUUGAGUGCGCCUUUGAGCCCUCAUCCCUUGGUAGUGCGUUUUCUAACCCUACCUGCUUUUGAGUGCGCCUUUGAGCCCUCACCUCCAUUUUGAGUGCGCCUUUGAGCGCUCAUUCCCUUGGUAGUGCGUUUUCUAACCCUACCUUCUUUUGAGUGCGCCUUUGAGCCCUCACCUCCAUUUUGAGUGCGCUUUUGAGCCCUCGUCCCUUUGGUAGUGCGUUUUCUAACCCUACCUCCCUUUGAGUGCGCCUUUGAGCCCUCACCUCCUUUUGAGUGCGCCUUUGAGCCCUCAAUUCCUUUGGUUGUGUUUUUCUCACCCUACCUCUUUUAGAGUGUGCCUUUAAGCCCUCGCCAUCCAAUUCUUCAUAUUUUUUUCAUUUGGGUAGGUCACCCAUUACAAUGAGACCGUUUUUUUUUUAUCACAUUUUCUUUUGUUUUGGUUAAAUGAGGUUGCCAGAUGGGAUCUCAUGUAGCUUUGGUUAGAGGGAAUCUCCAUAUGGGAUUUUAGGUUGACCGAGCUACACACGCAGGAUUUUUUGGUUCUGGUUAGAGGGGAUUGCCGAAAGGAAUCUCAGUCUAUCCCAACCACACAAGAUUUUGGUUCUGGUUAGAGGGGAUUUCCGAAAGCAAUCUCAGUCUAUCCCAACCACACACAGGAUUUUGGUUCUGGCUAGAGGGGAUUGCCGAAAGGAAUCUCAGUCUAUCCCAACCACACAUAGGUUUUUUGGUUCUGGUUAGAGGGGAUUGCCGAAAGCAAUCUCAGUCUAUCCCAACCACACACGGGAUUUUGGUUCUGGUUAGAGGGGAUUGCCGAAAGGAAUCUUAGUCUAUCCCAACCACACAGGAUUUUGGUUCUGGCUAGAGGGGAUUGCCGAAAGGAAUCUCAGCCUAUCCCAACCACACAGAGGAUUUUGGUUCUGGUUAGAGGGGAUUGCCGAAAGGAAUCUCGGUCUAUCCCAACCACACAUAGGUUUUUUGGUUCUGGCUAGAGGGGAUUGCCGAAAGGAAUCUCAGUCUAUCCCAACCACACAGGAUUUUGGUUCUGGCUAGAGGGGAUUGCCGAAAGGAAUCUCAGUCUAUCCCAACCACACAGAGGAUUUUGGUUCUAGUUAGAGGGGAUUGCUGAAAGGAAUCUCAGUCUAUCCCAACCACACAGGAUUUUGGUUCUGGUUAGAGGGGAUUGCCGAAAGGAAUCUCAGUCUAUCCCAACCACACAGGAUUUUGCUUCUGGUUAGAGGGGAUUGGCGAAAGGAAUCUCAGUCUAUCCUAACCACACACACAUAGUAUUGAAGUUUCGGGUUAAAGGGGAUUGGCGAAAGGAAUCUCAAUUUAGCCCAACCACACACAGGACUUUGGGUCCGGUUGAAGUUUUAGGUCAAUCAAAUUUUGAGACGACCAGUUUCGAAAGACCAAUGUUAUUUUAUCUUUACAACACUUACUAUGCACAAAGUUUUGCUCCGUAAGCAUUGUAAAGAGGGGGGCAACUGUUGUAACCCAUUUUUUGGUCCCCACAUAAAAAAUAAUAAAAAUAAAAAAAUUCAAAAAAUAUAUUAUAAAAAAAAACGCAAAACAGUGCCGUUUGGAAACGGCACCAUCGUCUUUUUCCCUGCGCACGCAGAGAACAGGGGAGAAGAAUUUUUCUUCUCCACUUUUCGCUGAACUUCUUUCCCGGAUUUGGCGCAAUAAGACGCCUACCAUUAGACGCCCACUUGCCUCCUUUUUAUCCAUUGAACAGAUAGUGCAGGGGCGGCCAACAGUGGCCGCCCCACCAUUCGCCCCCCCUGUUUUUGCCUAUAAAAACAGGGGAGGAAGAAGAAAAAAAGAAAAAAAAAGAGAAGACCAAGAGAGGGGGAAGAGAAGAGAAGGGAGAGCAAAGAGAGGGAGAAGAGGGAGAAGAGAGGAGAGAAGGCAGAGAAGAAAACAAAGGAGAGAGAGAAGGAAAACGCAGAGCCACCGCCGGCCACCCCACUGUCAGCGCCGCUUCCUGUCGCCACCAGCAGCUCCGCCAUCAACGACAGCCACCACAAGUCAGCCCUCAAACCCUUAUCUCGUUUUACUGUUCAUCUUCUUGCAUGCAGAACGUGCACUGUGCACGUUCUGCAAGCCAUGAAUUAAUUACCCGGUUACUGUGCAUGGGCACAGUAACUGGCUAAUUAAUUCACUGGUUACUGUGAACACAGUAACCCGGUUACUAUAUGCACAGUAACCAGCCCAUUUGGGCGUGGGCUGGGACGUCAGCCAGCCCAUGUAAAUGGGCCAGGUUUGGCCCAGCCCAUGCAAUUGGGCCUGAUCUGGCCCAUUUAAAAAAAAAAAUUAUUGUUUUAAAAAAAUAUAUUUAUGAUGUUCCCACUUUUGAUUUAUGUUAUUUUUAUUAAUAUCGGGUAGUAUUUUUAUGUCGUAAAAAUAUAAAUCUGGUAUUAAACUACCCGGUUUUUCAUCAAAAACUUCCAAAAAUACAAAAAAAUUAAAAAAAAGGAGAAAAAAUGUUUUUGUGCAUACGGCCAAGUGUCUCAAAGCUAAAAAAUCAUAUUGUAUUUUUCAUACACCAAAAAAACAAUGUUUUAGCAUGCAUUUUGGCUUUAAUAACCAGUUUAUUAAAGUCAAGAGAAUAUUGGCCAAAAUUUCAAAAACAACAAAAAAAUUUAUUUUGUUUGUCUCUUAGUAUUCGAGGUAUGACAUUACAUGUAAUGCAUAUUCUGGAUAUUAAUUCUUUUUUUCCGGACAAUCGAACUUGGGGUAUGACAUUACAUGUAAUGCGUAUUCCGAACAAUUACAAACCACAACAAGACUUUAGAUUUUAUCAGACAAAACAAUGCAGCUUACCUUAGGUAGGGCGUAGUUGGGGUGUUAAUACCUUCCCUUUACGCAACCAGUCUCCGUACCCGAUCUCUAAAGACCAGUUAAGGUUCCUAGUAACCAGAAUACUAGGUGGCGACUCCCAGUCCAUAUUUUCACAUUGUAGAGACAAGAAUUCCUUGUCUCCCCCUAUUUUUGCCAGGAAUGAAUAUUCCGUUUUUUCCUUGAGGGUGGACGAUCGUCUCGCCGCCGCACACGUGCGACAGAACUCACCCUUUUAUUAUUUAUCCUUUUCAGGCUUAUAGCUUGAUAGCAGGUCACUUUUGUUGAAUCUUCCGAACCUGUUUUUUGGUUGUAAUUUGUACCUUCCUUUUAUGUCAAGUUAGUGCUCCAAAACUAUGAAUAUAUAUGAACUCUUGUAUUAAGACAAUCGAAUUAUGUUAUAAAGUUAGUUUUGUUGUUACUGCUGCGUUGAAUAACUCUGAUUGAAUUUUGAAGGAUAAGUUUGUAUGUAAGUUUGGGUUCGCAUAGGUAUGGAACCUUGAAGGGGAACCUUGCCUAUGUACCGGUCAUGGAUCCGGGAUUCGGGUCUUAACAUCAGAUCAAACAAUUUUUAUCAUGUGGGGGGAUUGUUAGGGUGUGAAUGAAAAGUUGUAUUUGUUAAAAACUCUACUUGAAAUAAAAUCUUGUACUUUUAAACUAGAAAGUUGUAACCUUUUGCCUUAAAAGUUAUGUUAAAAUUAAAUGUCAGAAUUACCUAUAAAAAGAGACAAUUCUAACAUGAUUUUGAUAAUGAAAAAACUUCUAGUCUUUUUAAAACUCUUAUCUUUUACAUUUUUUUAGUCAAAAUUCUUAUAGAGAGUAACAUACAAAUUGUGAUUCAUCAUUUAUUCUUGGUUGUGCUAUCAAGAAUUAGAGAUUGAGAAAGCUUGAAAAAUAAUAUUACAAUCACAUUGCUAGCACCAAAGAACAUGUAAUAAAUUGUUUUAUGAUAAUUUAUCGUUAAUUUAUUGAUUUUAAUUUGUGGCUAUCAGUUCAAAAUAAAUCUCAAAGACCUAUUAAAAUUGAAAAUGGUAAUGAGAUUUCUAAAAUUAUAAGUGAAUAUAUGGAAAAUAUUAAAAAAAUACUUUUUAUGAAUGUUAAAGCCAUGAAUAUUUUAUAUUAUACAUUGGAUAAAAGUGAAUUUGAUAGAACUAUAUUAUACAAAAACGCUUAGAGAUAUAUAACAUGCUUUACAAGUAAUUCAUGAAGGAACUAAGAAGUCAAAAAAUUUAAAAUUGACUUGUUAAUUUAUACUAAAAUAACUAAUAGUUUAUUAGUUUGGAUGUUUUUAGUAAUGCUGAAAUUAUAGAGAAUUGAUCAUUAAGUUGAUUUUUUAAUAUGCGUAGAAAUCAGAUCAUUAUAAAUUUAAUAAACUAUUUAAAGUGUUCCAAUGAAAAGAAAAUGGGUGUUGUGAAUUUUAGUCUGCAUUUUUCUCUACUUUCUUUUUGGUUUUUUUUGUUUGUCCCUUCUUGGAAAUUUGCGCUCAGUUUUUGCCUUUACUCUUUGUUGAUUGUCUUUCUGUUUUUAGUUGCAUUGUUAGGCUAUAUGUGUGUUUAUUCACUUGCACAGUGUAAAUGCCAAUUAACUGCAACAAUGUGAGAAGAAGAAGCUGCUUGCCUGGUCUGCUGGAGGCGAAGGCGCGCGGUUGCUGAUAAACCAGCCUAUUUCUUGCUUUCCCUGCCUCUAGUCUUUUCUGUCUAGUUCUCUGGAUUUCUUUUGAUUUUUCUGCGGGUGUGGUUCGUUUGUCAUAAAGCCAGAGAAGGUCGUGUGUUCAUGCCUUCAGAAAUGGCAAGCAUCGUGGAGGCGAGAGAUUGUGGGCGCAAGGUACUGGAAUUCCCCUGUUGAAUCGGCUUCAGCCAACAGAUGAUGAACAAUAGGAUCCAAAACGAUGUCAUUUAGCAUGAAAAAUGACAAAUUGUAGUUUGGUCCCUGGCAUUUUGAAAUGUAUCAAUUGGGCCCCUUAAUCAAAUAAAUUUGUAAUUUUACCCUUGGAUUAAUUUCAAAUAAAUCCCUGAAUUUAUUUAAUUAAUUAAAUCAAAGUUUAAUUAAGUCCACAAACUUAUUAAUUCUUCUAAUUUCAUUAAUUAAACUAAUUCAAAUUUUAAUUAAAUUUCCAAACUUAUUAAUUCUUCAAUUUUUGAUUAAUUUACUCUCAAAUCUGAUAAUUUCAUCCCUGAACUUUGAAUUUGUACUAUUGUUUUAACCACAUUCUCAAAUAUAUUUUUAUCCGUUCACUUUGUAUUAUUUAUUUGAAAAUUAGGUUAUGACAAAUCUAAUAUGUCAUUAUAAAUCUAUCAUAUUGACUGUAUCAUGUUAGAAUAAUUUUUAUGUUGGUUAAUUUUAAAUUUGAUACAGGGAAAGAAUCGGAUAAAAAAAAAUUAAAAUUAAUUUACUAGAAUUUAAGAUGCCAAAUAGUUACUUCAGCGUAUAUAAUUUUUUCGUGUUGCGCAAAACAUAAACUGGUUUCUUCUAAAAUAUUUACAAGUAAACAUUCACGCAUAUGAUGAUAAAAAUUUGAGUGAAAUUUAUAUAAAUAGUGUCUGUUUUUUGCGAAACAAACAAAUUAAUCCCUCAAGUUUUUUAAAUAAUUAAUUGAUUCUUUAAUCACAUUUUACGUCAAGUUAGUGGAACAAAUUGAGGAAAUAUUGAAAGAAAUUUGAGUAAAAUUUAUAUAACUAGUGUCUAUUAUUCGUGGAUGAAUUUGUCUCUCUCAUGAUUAUCUCUACAGCAUUUUUUGCUCUUGGUUCGUCUGGAUUCUUCUCUACAGUCUCGCGCUGGUCUGGAACAAGGCGAGCCUCUGUAUCAAUUAAUCUACAUUUCUUUCCCUUAAUUUUCUCUUUAAUUUCCUUAAUGGGUGUUUUGUAGGCUUCUUUCUCUGUAUGUUAAAUGCUUACUCUAAUCAUCUCUAUUCUACAGCCCAGCAUUUUAUUAUAGUUGUUGUUGCUGUGGACAAAAGUGCAUUUAUUUUCAUUUAACUUUUUAAACAAUUCAUUUAGUUUUUGUUUUAAAUGUUUAAUUUAUUGGUAUUGAACAAACCCCCUUAUAGAGAGCCUUAUGUAGUUUCAUGAAUUUUUGUGAUUUUGUGUCCUUUGGUAUUAGUUAAUAGAUAUUCUACCUCUUAUUCGUUUUUAAUAUUGUUGUUUGGCUCACUUUUAUAUUCUUUUUAUAGAUUUUUUGCUUGACUUAAUAUUCAAUAAGUAUGCAUCCAAUUUGCAAAAAUAGAUACAUACAUGACUUUCAUUAAUUAACAAGAUUGAUUACAUUAAUUCUUGCACUUGUUUUAUUUAAAUAAAUAUAUAGAAUUAUGAAAAUUCAUAAUUUAAUGAUUAGAUAAUAUUUGUAUAACCAGAAUACACAAUAUAUGUAUUAAGUUCAAUGUUUUUGAAAAAGAAUUUCUUUUAUUGAUUAAUGUAUAAGUAUAUAUUGUAUUAAUAAUAUCUUGAUUAAUUAAUAAAUUUCAUGGUCUCAAUGAUAUUAAUUUAUAGAUGUUUAACUGUAUAUUGUAUUAAUUUUUAAAAAAUAUAUAAAUUUUACAUGAUAAAAUUAAAAACACUUAACUCCAUAUAAGGAAAAUAUUUAUUUUUAAACGACAAUACAAAAUAUAUGAUAAUACUAAUAUGUAAAUUCAAAUCUAUCUCUAAUGAGGCAUAUGUAUUGCUUACUAGGGACAUCAUUAGCUUUUUAGCUUCCAUUGAUUUAGCCAUGCAUUGCCUCUUUCAUUUCUCAACUGAUUGUUUUUAACAUUCCAUGUUAAUUUUCUUUCUAGAUGAAGCUCUCAAAUGUACUCUUGGAAUCAACAACUUAGGUUACAAUUACAUGAACAUCGCCCUUUUUAUCUCACACAUACAUAUUAAAGAACUUUGGCAUGCUUAGCUUUCUUACUAUGGCUUUGUCUAAAAUAUGAUGAUUGAUCUUUCGUUUAAGAGUUACUUUUCAUUCCAUUGUUCAUUCUUCUCCCUUUCAAUUUGCCUAGCAUUUGUUGUUUCCUUUCAAGUCUUCUACUUUAAAUCUUAUGUUCAGAAGACAUUGGUUCAACUGUUACUUUUAGCCUGGAGUUCAUAAGGAAGCAAUGAGAUACUAGAUUUGCUUUUCCAACUUCCAUUAACAAUUUGAGUGGCUUGCACUUUGGUUGCUUAUGUUUAUUGAUGAUAGCUUUUAUUGUCUUUUUUCUUUUGGUUUGUAAUUCACAAUAAUAGAUUGGGUCUGAUUAUCUUGGUCUGGAAUUGACAUGAAAAAAAAAAAAAGAAACUGAUAAAACAAUGGAACAAUACAACAGUAGAGAAUGUAUGUUGCAGCCAAAAGCUUAAGGUCUGCGUGUAUUGUAUUAGGGUUUUAUAAUACCUAAAUGUCCACAAUUAAAGCCUAAAUACAUGCCUAAGAAUAUUCACAUUCCAUAAUAGGAUAAUAUUACAAUCAGCUCAUCCCAUAUUUAGAUAUUCCAUAAUAGAAACUUACAUUCUCUACUUUAGAUGGCUUGAGCACUGUUCGCUAGAACAACAGAUUGGGUUUGAUUAUCUUAGUCUGGAAUUGGCAGGAAAAAAAAAACAGAAACUUGCAUUGUCUGCUUUAGAUGGCUUGAACAUUGCUUGCUAGAUGUUCAUUAAUUUCUCUUUUUGCAAUGAACUCUUGCAUAUUUGACAGAUCAUGCUACUUUUUUCACGCUAUUAUUGUUCUCUAUUGAACUGCCAAGAUUAUUGGUUGGAUAAUGGCCACUGUGAUUAGAGAAACUGAAAUAAUUUAUAGUCUGCAAGUUUGUAAAUUCAUUACGGCAGUCAUGUUUUUAUCCAAACAUAUGCCAAGAGUCAAGACCAAAGUUAAAUCAACAACAAAAAGCUGGAAAAAAAACCCUGCGAUAAAAGUGACAAAAUUCAUAAAACUCAUUGGCCAAUAAUGUAAUGCCACAUGAUAAAAUUACAAAAAUUAAUUAAAAAAAUUGAAUCAAUUCAGAUUAACUUACUUAUCUGCAACCUGGAAUAUGAGAUAGGAAUAACCUUACAAAAAAAAAAAAAACCAAAACAAAUAACAAAAUUUAAGGCCCAAUAACUCAAGGUUGAUGAUAAAAAAAAAUAAAAAAAAACUUAAAAAAAUACCAUACUUAAAACGAGUUGAUAUUCAAAAUUGGUAGACUGAGUUAUGAGACCAGGACAACAAAAGAUAAUGAAGCAAAAUUUUCAAUCAUAAAAAAAUAAAAAUCCAAACAAUAAGGACAAAUUCUUAUACAGAAAAUCAUUAAAAGAAAAUAGUGAGGGAUUAAAUUGAAAAACAAAAUAAAUGAAGAAAAUGAUAAACAAAAGAUCAAUAAAAAAAAUAAGGACCGAAAUUGCAAACAAAAUAAAAUGAAAUAAAAUGCUAAAGGACAAAAUUAAAAAAUAUAAGUAAAUGAAAAAAAAUAGUAAUCAAAAGAUUGGAGACCAAGUUUAACAUAAUAAAUAAAUAAAAUAAAAUGCUGAGGGUUGAAAUUGAAAACACUUUUCUUCAAAAAACAUCAAAAUCAAAAUAAAUAGAAAUCAAAAUAAUAAGAAUCAAACUUAUUAUAAAUACAAUCUGAAGGAUACAAUUGAAAUUUUAAAGGCUUGGCAUGAAUAUUAAAGCCCAAGAGGGAGGGAGAAAAAAAAAAUUUAUCACCGUUGAACCACUACAAAUAUGACGACACGUCACUCCAUCAACUACACCUUCACAUUACACGUUGGACUAACACACACCUCUUGAAUGAUGUGGUGGACUAUCACGCGUUGACACGUGUUACAUACAUGUUAGCCUUUUUUAUUGAUUUAUUAAUAUAUCAAUACUUUAAAUUACUAAAUAGCCCCUAAGAGCAUCUAAAUAUUACAAAAAAAGCUAUAUUGCAAAGAUGAAAACCCUAUCCCAUUUCAACUUUAGAUUUUUUUUUUAUUCUACGGUUAACUUUGUCAUUUUACAUAUACAAAACAUGGAAAAGACUAAAAAAUGCCUCAUGUCAAGGUCAAUAUUUUUGAAUUCUCAAGGGUAUUGACAUUAUUUAACUAUGCAAAUAAAAUAGAAAAGACAAAAUGGACCUUAAGCAAAAGGCAAAUUGUUUUUUUGCUUACAAGGGCAAUGAUGUAGUUUUAAUGUACAAAAAAAGAGUAAACCUACUAAAUUAUCCCCAUUCAAUUUACAAAUAACCUUUAGAUCCAUUGAAAAAUACAACUUUACCCCGUUCGGAAGACAAUUGUUUUGUGUAGAGAAGGGCAAAAAGUAAAUAUAUUGUGUUAAUCCAUAGUGUUUUACCUCAUCGUCUAUAAUGAAUCAGUGAUCUUUUAGGAUUAUUUUUUUUGCUUUUUUUUUAAUUCCAUUUUGUUUUAGUUCAUGUUUAGAUUUUAAACAUGCAUUCUCAAACCAAAUCUCUUCUCUCUUGUACGCAUAUAUGUUUUUUAAAAAAUAUUUUUUCACAUCUGACAAUGUCGAAAUGUUUUUUUGCUUUAAAAAAAUUAGGAUAGCCCGUAGUGUAGAUCAUUUGUCUAGUUGGAUACUAUAGUGAUGUUUCAUUUUUAUAUUAAUAGUGAAGCACUUUAUUUUUUUUUAAAUUAGUUUUUUUUUCCUUUUUGAUUUGGUUCUGUUUUUUUUUUUUUUACAAAUUAGUCCUUAUUUUCUUGUUUAAUUUUUUUUUGGCCUAAUUAUAUGAGAUAAAUUUUUCAAUUUAAUUAGAAAUAAACUACUAUACUAAAAAAGUUAUGUUUCUCUACUUCCUUCACUCUUUAUAUAUUUUUUAUUUUUUUAAAUUGGUCUUUAUAUUUUUUUUGCUUCAUGAUUUGGUGUUUAUUCUUCUUCUUUUUUCCUUUCAUUUUUUUACAAAUCGGUCUUUAGAAAUUUUCUUUCCUUUUUUAUUUAACUCUUUUUCGGUCUAUGAGAUAAAGAUUUUAAUUUAAUUAAAAAUUAUUUAUUAAACUAAAAAAGUUAGGUUUUCCCUCCUACUUCACCAUUCAUAUCCUCCCCUUAAAAAAAAAAAAAAAAAAAAUUCUAUCUUCUAAUUUUUUUUUUCUUUUGAUUGAAUGAUUUUUGCCCUUUUUUUCCUUUCAAUUUCACUUUAAUAUUUUGUUGAUUUUAAAUUGAUUAUCAUAAUUUGUUUUUAAUUUCUUUAAAUGUAGUUAUCAUAGUCUCAAACAAAUAUCACUAAAUUUGUUAAGAUCUCAAUUUUAGAAGUUUCUAUUUUAGUUAUCGUAUCAUUAUAUAAAAGAUAGUUUUAAAGCCUAGUGAAGCUUAUGAUUUGGUUGCAUAAUUGAGUUAAAUCACGAAGCUCAAAUUGAUCUAGUAUAUCGUCAUCUUAAUAUUAAAAAAAAUUAUCAUCUUGAUUUUUUUUUUUUGAAUCCAAACCAUGCUUUUAUUGGUCAUUUGGGUUGCUUUAAUUUGCAUAUGUAAAGUCAACUAGGUCAUGUAUAAACAACUCCCUUAUGAAUUAAUUUUAAACCUAUACUAAGCAAGAAAUCAAGUCGAUAGUUCAGGAUCAAGUUUAAUAACAAAUGUCAUUGUUCUUUUGUUUUUAAACCCUACCUUCUAUUUUUAUUUUUAUUUCAAUUGAAUCCUUUUAGGCUUUUCUCUGUUUUAUCCUUUAACUUAUCAUAUUUCAGUUUACUUUCUAUAAUGUUUUUACAAUCUCAAACAUUUAAUUGAUACUUGAUUUUACAAGCAAUUGUUUUAUUAUAUUAUUAAGUAAAAUAUAAUUAAAAAACAUAAACCAGAUGAAAUCCAUUAUUCAUGUUGUGGUUUUGAAAAAUUAAGCUAUGAAAUUGAUCUAAUAUAUUGUUUUAUUAAUACUAAAAAAAGAUUAAAACCAAAUUAUGUUUUUUUACCGGUUAUAUGAAUUGACUUUGAACCCAUCACAUUGAUUCUAACUAUAUCAUGUUAGGACAACUUUCACGGUGGUGAAAUAGAUAAGAAGUCAAGAUGAGAGGAGAAUUUACUAUUAAUCCACUACUUUUUUUAUGUUGCGCAAAACAUAAACCAGAUCCUUCCAAAAUAUUUAUUUAACCAGUGUCUGUUUUAUGUGAAACAAACAAAUUAAUCCCUCAAGUUCUUUAAAUAAUUAAUUGAUUCUUUAAUCACAUUUUACCGUCAAGUUAGUGGAACAAAUUGAUAAAAUAUUGCUGACAGCUCUACAUUUGACCGACGAAAAACUAAUGAAGGGACCCGUUUAUUGCAUAAUGUAAAAGUACAGGGAAAAGAUUUAAAAGAUCUAGUUAUCAGCAACAAAACAACCAAAACAAAAAGCUAUUUCACUGUUCAGUGUCUCACUGUAGAAAUGGUACUUUGUAAUUCCAGGGAAGAUUAGUUUUCCCUUUGGGAAUGGCCAUCUGCAGAUAUCCCUGCAUUAUAUGUUUGAUUAAAGCAUGGUAUAUACAUAGCAAUAGAAAACAAAAGGUUAGGAUGUUUAGAAAUUCAAUGUUUGGCAGUGGGUAUGGUAUUUUGAGACUUGGUCUCCAUUGCAAGCAUCUUCAGAGAUAUUUUACGCAGAUAAUCAGACUGAAAUCUGUGAGCAGUCCAUGUUACAAGAGAAGGGGGAAGAGGGAUAUAUGCUCUUUCUAAUAUGCUAGGCUUUCUGUAUUUGCAUUGUCUGUGAGCAUAUACUGUAAACUAUGAAGAGAGAAUAGAAUUUGCUGGAAUGAAUUGUAUUAUUGAUCACAUCAUAUAUUUAUACAAGUGCAUUUACAGUCAUUCCCAUAGAUUAGGAAUCAAUUACUACCUUACAAUUUAUCAUCCUAUAGACUUAGUUUUACACUAGGAAAGCCAAUGUAUUCAGAUUAUCCAUUCCUAAUAAAUAGCUUACGAGAUUCCUAACAUAUACUUCGGUGUCCUCUCUUUUUAUUUAAUUAUUUAUGUAUUGAUUCGUUAUUUGCAUUUUGCACACUUCCCUUUGUACUUGAAAAUGACCUUGGUCACUCUAAAUAAAACACUUGUAAAGAGAACUAACGAAAAGAUGUGAACUUCUACAGAAUGACUAGUGAGGAAGUGUGGACACACUACACACACGUGUACAUGCAUAAAUCCACACACUUAUGCUUGUGUAUAUUCAUGUCUAGAGAAUAUCGAAAUUAUUGAACCUAACAUUAGCCGAAUACCUGAUUGGUGGCGGCAGUAUAAAUCUUUUCCUCAAACCGUACGGCAAUUUUCUUGAGUUCUUGUAAUCCCUCUUGACCAGAAAGCGGAAGAUGCCUCUUUAAUAUCUCUAUUCUGCACAUGUAAGACAUACAUCUAUUUUUACUUCCUUUCCCCGUGAUAUUCCAGAGGUACAGGGUAUAGGAGUUCACUUGGCCACCCUUCUGUCUAAAAUUCUAGUUACGAGCUUCAUGGUUAAUUUUCUUGAACUGGAAGAACCUUCCAUUUAUGGCUAUGCUCCAAGAUAUACAAGUGAAUUAGUUGCAAACCAGGGGAACUCUGUGAAAACAUUACAAUAGCAUUUACUCUGAGUAAGAAAACUUUUAUACAUGCACUAUAAUUGACAACAAAAGAAGAAGAAAAUCCCUUUAAUUUAUGAAAAUGUAAUGAGAUAACCUUAUCUCAUGCUGCAUAAUUAUAAAGAACUCUAAAACGCGUGGGGAAAGUACUGUAGCUUUCCCCACGGUUUUCCCUGCCAAGGCAUAUAUUGUCGUUGCAGAAGUUUGAAAAAACAUUAGAUUAUAAUACCAGUGUCUUAAAUGCUUUGAAAAAUUAGACUGUUAUUUUCCCCCUGUAACUGGGUCUUUUGAAUUAUCUACAUCUGAUCAUCUUUAGAAUAAUUAACUUACGUUUUCAGGUUUCAUUUGGACAAUGUCAAAUUAGCCGGUGUUUUUUUAAUGGUGCAUUAAUUGCUUUCAGCUUCAUUUAGAAUAAAGUCAAGCUGCCUAAUCUUCUUUGAUGGUGCAUUAAAUGGAUGUGGCGUUGGCAUCAUUAUACACAUAUUCUUGCCUCCGUUUUCAUUAUUUCCUGUUCAGUUUUCGUUGUAUUUCUAUUCUAGUUAGUCUGCUUUCUAAUUGUUUAAUUGCAUGGGAUGAUUCUUUUGAAAUAGUUUCUAGCGAGCCAGUUCUCUAGCUCCCGCCUCUCUUAUAAUAUUUGAAGGUAUGUUUUCCUGUAACUUUUGUUUGUUCCCUGCAACUUUUGUUUGUUCAGUAUGCGGGUGGCCAUGAUUUGUUAUGCUUUCCUUUGCAGUUCGUUGUUCCUUUAUCAUAUUGUCUUUCAGGAGAGAGUUUGGACUUCAAGGUUAGAAUAUUUUCUCUUAGUUGUUUUUAAGAUUGUGUUCUCGUGUGUGUGUGUGUGUAUAUAUAUAUAUAUAUAAAAACUAAUUCGUGGUGAUAUUACUUAUACACAGAGAGUAAACUCAUGUGGAUUUCAAUAGUGUGGUGUGUGUGGCUGGGAAUUUCAUUUUUUAUGGAUCGACGGGUCUUGGAUGAUCAGCUGUUGUUGAUUGGUGGAUCUAUCUUCUUUCUUGGGGGUUGUCUAGCUCUGNNNNNNNNNNNNNNNNNNNNNNNNNNNNNNNNNNNNNNNNNNNNNNNNNNNNNNNNNNNNNNNNNNNNNNNNNNNNNNNNNNNNNNNNNNNNNNNNNNNNUUAUUAGUUUGAUAGUCUUUUUAAAUUUAUCAAGGUUCAAGAAGCUUGAUAAAUGAUUUUGAAACCUACGAAAACCUUGAGUUAGGUAAAAAAUUUAGAAACUUGCACCUUUUAUUUUGUAAUUUAUUAAUUAAAUUGUUUGCAAACAUCUAACAUGUCUAAUUUUUUAUUUUGUAGAAUUUGGUGGAAAGUUACAUGUAGAAUCGGAUGAUAAUUAGUUCAGAAGUUACUUUGAUGGUAAAAUACUACUUUUUUAUUUUUACAUAUUCUAAUUUAUUUUAUUAUGUUAUAAUUUUUAGAUCUUGAUUUCCCAGGUUUUGAUGUCAAUGGUAUUACGGAAUCAAAGUGCAAUGUUCUUGUCAUCUUGAUGUGCUUUUUGAUUGGGAUGAUGUGCACAAUGAAAAUUUAUAUUUUUUGCAUGAAGUGUUUUAUUUUUAUGGCAAUGUUAUUUGUUGUUUUUUUAAGCCCUUUUGAAGGCAAAGCUUUGUAAUUUAAAUUUUAAUUUGGUGUGUUAUUUAAACUUUGAUGCAUGAGGAGUACAAACUCUAAAACACAAAUAUUAGAAAGAUUGCAACAUAUUAAACACAAUAUUAGCACUAAUAAUUUAAUAUAAAUGAAUAUUUAGUGAUAAAAAAUAUAAAUAUAUUAUAGAAUUUGUAACAAAAUUAGAUAAUAGUUACAUUAAUUACAAGCCUAUUAGAAAGCCCAUCAGAAAACCCAUUAGAAAGCCCAAAAAAACCCAAAAAACAAUAAUAGAAGUUUUCCAGUUUUUCUGUUAAAAAAACCGAACCGAAUGGAACCGAAACCGGUCGGUUUGAACCGGUUCUGGUUCGGUUUCGGUUUGAAUUUUUAAGUUUUUCAAAUUUUAAUUUUGUUAGUUUUUUAUAUAAAAACUGAACCGAACCGGUUUUACUCACCCCUGCACAAUGCUAAGGGAAUGUAAGAUAGUUGUUGACAGCUGGCGUCAACCAGAAAAUUCUAAAAUAUUCUCAUCAUUUCAAAGAAAAUUCUAUCAAGAGGAAUUCUUCAUCUAUUUGGGAGGCCACCAAAGUCAAAAAGGAGUGGUAACUCAUCAUUUUCAUUUAUUUCGUAUCGAACCAUCUUAAUGGUUGUGAGAAAAUCAAGGCACAGUCACAUACAUAUCUAAAGAAAAUACAAAGUUAAGUUUAAACUUGUUAAUUCACCUUAAAAAGAUACUGAGCACACAAGUUUAUUUUAAAUUUAGGUUUUGCUAUAAAUUUAAAAGAAAAUAUGUUAGGUGGACACUAUGCAGUUUCACUAUUUACCCCCUCAUGUUUUACCGUGGAUGACAAUAUUUACUUUCUUUUAGGUUUGCUAUAAAUUUAAAGGAAAAAUAUAAACCCGGUUAAGUUCAUAGUUUGGGUUCACCACACAAGUUUUACUGUGGACAACACUAUUUACUUUUUUCUUUUUUGCUUAAGAAAAAAUAUUUCUUUUUUUUUGUUUCUAUUUUUUAAAAAUAAUCUUAAUCUUAGUUAUAUUUAUAUUUAUAUUAAUAUCCCUUCUCUAUUUUAUGUUAUUUAGAAAGCCUAUUUGAAAUGAUGAUUAUUUUUUAAUUAUGCAUUUAAUUUUUGAGGAGGUUUUUCUAAUAAUCUAUAAUUUUUUUAAAAUAUUUUAUAGAUGAAUUUUAUUUUUGAAAAUAAAAAUAAAUUUAUUUUCAAAUAAUAUUUCUAAUAUGUAUAGCCUUGUAUAUUAUUUUCUCCUUUUAUUUUAUUCAAUCAAUUUAUAAUGUGUGUGUCUGUUUUUAUUAUCGUUUGAUCGAAUAAAAAAUUAUUUUAAUUAGAAAAUUUAGAAAACACUACUGCGUAAAUAUCACGUCUUGUGAAAUUAAAUAUCUUGAUGUACACCUUUCUCUUGAUUUCUCUUGUUUUUAUUUUGAGUUAUCGUUUAAGGUUUUUUUUUUUCACUUAUUUACACACAUAGUUCUUCAUUUAUUUGACUAUAUUUGCGUAUAGUUUUUUUAUUUCACUUAAAUUUUUGACUUUCUUAAACUAGUUGUAGUAUAUAGAAUUUUUUUUAAAAUAAAAAAAUAGAAAUAUAAUUCACAUUCGAGUAAAAACCUCCACAAAUAUAAUCUCAUUGAAAGUUGCAUCAUGUAUUAAUCUAAGGUCCGCUGUCCAUUAAUUAAUCGGUGGUUGCAUUCUAACACUUGAGAUUUAUAUUUUAUGCUUAAGCAUUUAAUUUUAUUUUUUUGUAAACUAAAUAGAAAUUAAAGCAUAUUAUCCAUUCCCAAGCUUACGGGUAAUGGCCUUAUGGACCCAUCUCGUAGAAAAAACACUUGAUAUAUAGCAAUGGUCUCAUGGACCAUCCCACUGACCUAUAUCAUGGAAAAAAACAGAUGGCAAUAUAUAAUCUCACAAACCCAUCUCACACUGCAAAUUCCCAUCCAUCUUACUUGUUGAUUGUGUUACAAAAAAUAGACUCUUUAGAAAGAAAAAGAAGAAGACUUAUUGUCAUGAUAUUGACAAGAAGUAUUUUAGAAAUAAUAUCAUUUGUGGUUUAUUUUAUCAACGAUAUUGUUUGAUUUUUCCAUCACCAUCAAAAUUAAAGCAUGAUUUUCCACACGUUAUUUCCAUGAAGAAAGUAGCAAGUCUUCCAUAUCCGUCAUUGUCAUUCAAAAUGAGCUACCUAGUGUUAACCUUUGAUUCAUAUUUUUCCAAAAAAAAAAAAAAAACAGACAUGGAUUCAACUUUAUAACAAGGAAUACAAUCAAUUACUUUUAUGCAAUUCAAUUUUUCCAAAGUUUUUUCACGAACCCAUCUCGUGGAAAAAAUACAUGAUUGUUGGAAGGGGUCUGACGACCUCUCCUCGAGGAAAAAUGCAUGAUGGCAACGGUCUCCGGACCAAUGUGCAGAUGGAAAUGGUCUCACAAACUCAUAAAUUCAUGAUGGAAAUGGUCUCACGAACUCAUAAAGUUGAAUUUUUCAAUUUUUCACAAAAGAUAUUUUCGGAGAAUAACAUUUAUAGUGGUACUUUUAUGCAAUUCAACUUUAUUAAGCUAGUUAUAGUAUAUAGAAUUGAUUUUUAAUGAAAAAUUAGAAAUAUAAUCCGCAUCCCAGUAAAUACCUUCACAAAUUAAUAAAUAUGUUUUAAUAUUUACUUUUAAUAUAUAUACAAUGAAAAGAUAUUAAGAGUUGAUUAAUAUUGUUAAGCCAUAUAUGUUUAUAAAAGUCAUUUCUUUUAAACCACAUGAUAUGUUUACAUAUUUGCAAUAUGUAUGUAUUUUGAAUUUAAUAUUAAUAAUUAUAAAAUUUAUAUAGUUAAUAAAAAUAGCUUCACUUUUGUUCUCUCUUUCUUUCUCACUAUUGUUCUUUUUUCUUCUUCUUGAAUUGCCUUGUCUCUCUUUCUUUUCCGUUUUUCAUCUUUCAAUCCUUCAAGAUUCAAAAUACAUUGCAAUUUACGUUGGGAAUAUUGAUGAAAAAAUAUAAAUAUAACUAGAAACAAAUAAAAAAAAAAUGAAAUUCUAGUAAAGCAUUUACAUAUCCAUUGAAAGAUGCGUCAUAUAUUAAUCUAAGGUCCGUUGUCCAUUAAUUAAUUGGCGGUUGCAUUUUAACACUUGAGAUUUAUUUUUUAUGCUUAAGCAUUUAAUUAUUAUUUUUUUGUAAACUAAAUUGAAAUUAAAGCAUAUUAAUUAUCCAUUCCCAAGCUUACGGGGCAAUGGUCUCAUGGACCCAUCUCAUAGAAAAAACGCUUGAUAGCAAUAGUCUCAUGGACUAUAUUGUGGAAAAAAUACAGAUGGCAAUAUAUAGUCUCAUAGACCCAUCUCACACUGUAAAUUCAUAUCCUUCUUACUUGUUGAUUGUGUUACAAAAAAUAGGCUCUUUAGAAAGAAAAAGAAAAGACUUGUUGCCAUGACAAUGACAAGAAGUCUCGUAAAAAUAAUAUCAUUUGUGGUUCAUUUUAUUAACGAAACUUUUUUAUUUUGUCAUCACCAUCAAAAUUAAGACAUGAUUUUCCACACGUUAUUUCCAUAAAAAAAGUAGCAAGUCUUCUAUAUUCGUCUUUGUUAUUCAAAGUGAGCUGCCUAGUGUUAACCUUUGAUUCAUAUUUUUUCUAAGAAAAAAAAAAACAAAACAGACACGGGUUCAACUUUACAAGAUGGAAUACAAGUUUUCAGUUAAUUACUUUUAUGCAAUUUAUUUUUUUCUACAAUGUGGUUUUAAUCAGCGUUGUUAAAUUUAAUUCAAGCCUAACAUUUUAAUCUAGAACCUAACCCGAUUUAGGUUUAGAAAAAUCAAUUGAAAGUUGACUCAAUCAAGCCUAGUUGACUAGAUAAAUCAACCCACAACUUAGUCAACUCAGUCAGAAACUAGUUUUACUUUUUUUAACUACGCAGUUUUGAUUUUUUCUAAAAACAAUCUUAAAAUGAUACAAUUUUAGAUUAACACCAUUCAACAUAAGCUAACUUGUCCGAUUUAUAACCCAAAUCUUGAUCGGAGUAUUAGGCCAAUCUAUGACCUAAACCCUCAUCUAGGUAUUAAACCUAAUCAUGUUAAAUAAUUUUAGUUUUAAUAAACAAGACAUUCUUAAGAAAAAUGUCAUAUAUAAAACAUUUAAUGGCAUCCAAAUUGAAACAUUCACAAAUUGAUAUAAUAGUUAUUAAUAUUUAUUUUUAAUAUAUAUAAAAUAAAAUAUUUUAAUAAUUGAUAAUAUUGUGAAAUCAUAUAUGUUUUUUGUGGUAUUUCUCUUUAAUUUAAUCUCUUAACAUUGAGUUUGUUUAUCCCGAUCUCAUGAUCCGGGUCGAAGACAUGAUGGGUUAACUCGAUUUGUUAUUACUUCCUCCCCCUGUCUUGCAUAUAUUGUCCUCUGUUUUUCUUUUAUGCUAGCUAGCCUCUAAUUUUGGCUCUAGCACCUUUCUAUAAUAAUACUCGACUAUUAUUAAAAAAAAAAAGAAAAAAAAAAAGCAGAAGCAGAAAUAACUCGACAAUUUCUCUAAUGUGCAAAGGAGUGUUUGACAGAGCCUUCCUUAUCUCCUUCUGGUAAAUCGUCUUGGAGAGCCUAUGUUCUUGCCUUGAUCAAGACUCCCAUCUUAUCUUAGUUAUUCAACAAAUAUGAAGAAAUUCUCCAAAAUCAUUUCUUGACAUAACAUCUCACCUACCCCUCAGCCCUUUGUCAAGUCCACCGUCACUCUCGGUAAAUUAUUCUAUAACAUCUCAUAUACAGUUUCCUAAAGGUCCUCCGUCACUCUCUGUCAUUGACAGCUAUGCAUUAAAAUUAUUCUAUAACUUUUGCCUUUUCAGUUUUUCCUCUUGCGCUCUUCAAUAAUGUGCAAAGGAGUGUUUGACGUGCUAAGGAUAUAGAGCCUUCCUUCUCUCCUUCUAGUAAAUCGUCUUGAAGAGCCCAUGUUCUUGCCUUGAUCAAGACUCCCAUCUUAUCUUAGUUAUUCAACAAAUAUGAAGAAAUUUUCCAAAAUCAUUUCUUGACAUAACAUCUCACCCACCCCUCAGCCCUUUCUCAAGUCCUCCGUCCCCUUAUGCCCGAUGGUUGGGCAUCAGCCUUGAAACCACAAUGAUCCGAUGGACGAGAGUGGAGAAGGAUUCAUGCAUCUGUGUAUUUCUCAUGCUCUUUUUCACUAUACAACAGAGCUUUUGCCUUUUCAGUUUUUUCUCUUAGACGCUCUUCAAUCAAUGGAAAGAGGAAACACCACAGAAAGGUGUAAACUGACAAGAAAUUCAAUGCUCACACUUUGAAUUUUAAUUUGCAUGUUUCAGGUCAUUGGCAGCUAUAUAUAUAUAUAUUAUGUAUUUGAAGUUUUUGUAUAUAAUACUGUAGCCACACAAUCCAUAGGGAUAAGAUUUAUAAUUAUUCCGAGUUUAUUAUUAUUGAUAAUUUAUGCAUUUAAUUAUAUAUAUGAUAGUGAUGAAACCAUGCAAAUACUCCUAAAUGAUUCUAAAUCAUGACAAGAGAACUACAAUUACUAAAGUCAAAAAGAUCAUACGCGAAAUCACAUGGAGUACGUACUGCAACAAUGUUAAUUUUGUUUUUAUUUUUUUAUAAAUUGGAUAAUUAGUAACCCUAAAUAAUAUUCAAAUCCUAGAAUAUUCUAAAAAAAAUAAAAUAAUAUUCAAAUCUCAAAACAUGGAACCCUAAAUUAUGACAAGAGAAGUAUAAUUAUAAAGUCAAAAAAAAAUACACGAAUAUCGAUAACAAUGCUGAAGUGCUACAAUAAUUUAUUUUAUUUUAUUUUAUUUAUAUAAAUUGGAUAAUUAAUAACCAAAAUAAAAUUAAAUGCAAAUAGACUAAGUGCUAAACAAUAAAUUAAAAUAAUAUUUAAAUCCAAGAAUAUUCUAAAAAGAAAUAAAAUAAUAUUCAAAUCUCAAAACAUGUAACCCUAAAUUAUUACCAGAGAAGUAUAAUUAUAAAGUCAUGAAAACAAUCUUACGAAUGUCUACAAUAUAAUUUUUUUAUAUAAAUUGAAUAAUUAGCAACCAAAAUAUAAUUAAAUACAAAUAGACUAAAGGCCGAACUGAACAAUAAAAUAAAAGCCAAACUGCACAAGAUAAUAUGCAAAUAUAUAUUAUUGACAAACAUACCAUAAAGGCCGAAGUGUCAGACUUUGAAUCAUGUUGAAUUGUCAACAAUGGUGCGAGGUACUCUAGGAUACUUAGACCUGAGUACUUGCACACAAGCCAACUGACGGACAAAGGUGAUGUUUACAGUUUUGGAGUGGUUCUUGUGGAACUACUAACUGGGAUGAAGGCAAUUUCCUUCGAUAAGCCUGAGGGCCUUUAAGUGCUAAACAAUAAAAUAAAAAAUAUUCAAAUCCAAGAAUAUUCUAAAAAAAAAAAAUUUCAAAUCCAAGAAUAUUCCAAAAAAAAAUAAAAUAUAUCAAAUCUCCAAACAUGUAACCUGCACACAAGAUAUGCAGAUAAAGUCAAGGAAAUUAAAUGGCCAAAGUGUAGUAUAAAUAGGACCUCUAUGGUUGCCCAAAGGCACAUAACAAACAACAAUAUUCUACGUAGGAGUUCAUAGAAUUAUCUAAGAUGAUGAUGAAAAGAAUUGGGGCUUGGAUGUUGCUAGCGUUAUUGACUUUGUUUGGCGAAUGGCAUGGUCGUUGUUAUGGAUGUUUGGAGGAAGAGAGGAUUGGUCUCUUGGAGAUCCAAUCUUUGAUCGACCCACAUGGCGUUUCCUUGAGAGAUUGGGUGGACAGUAGUAAUUGUUGUGAGUGGCGUGGGAUCGAGUGUGAUCCGACUACAAGGCGAGUGAUCCAACUCUCUCUUGUUGCAGCAAGGGAUGAGAGCUUGGGCGAUUGGGUUCUCAACGCAUCUUUGUUUCAGCCUUUCAAAGAAUUGCAAAGUCUUGAAUUGGUAUAUACUGGAUUGGUUGGUUGCAUGGAGAAUGAAGGUUAGUUCAAUGUUUCUGCACUUAAUUAUAAUCAUAAAAUAAAUGAAGGUCGGUUGGUGUUUAAUGUCAAUUAUCUUGCUUUGAUGAUUCUCUUUCCAGGCUUCGAAGUCCUAUCAUCAAAACUGAGGGAACUUUACCUAUGGAAUAACCGAUUUAAUAAUGAUAAAAGCAUUUUGUCAUGUUUCAAUGGUAACCUUUCCACUCUCAAGUCUUUGGAUCUAUCAGUCAAUGAUUUGACAGCUGGAUCAGGUAGCUUCUACGGUAACCUUUUAAUUAUUUAGCUGGGAAACCUUUUCUUUUCUCCUUCUCAUAUCAUUUUUUUCUACGCAUUUAAUUAUUUCCUUCCAAUAUGCUCUUGAGGAACAUCAUGCAGGUCUCAAAGUCUUGUCAUCAAGGUUGAAAAAGCUGGAGAACCUUUAUCUAAGUUGGAAUCAAUACAACGAUAGCAUUUUUCCAUUUCUUACUGGAUUUUCAUUUCUCAAGUCUUUGGAUCUAUCACAUAAUAAGUUGACAGGAUCAGGUAUAAUACACAGUUUCUACCUAAAUGCUUCACAUGACAUUCUCUUAAUUAUAUUGUUUCUUUAUCAACAAAAAUGAGGACUUUAUAUCUACUUAAUUAAAGAGGCACUUGGAAUUAGGUCCACGAGGCAUAUAUUUUAUUCUUAUUUUGGCCCUUUUAUGCCGAAAGUGUUGUAAUAUUUAGAUUAAAUUAGUAAUCAGAAGUUCACUUCAAAACUCUCCAAUAAAUAUAUAUUUUAUAUUUAUCUUUUUAAAUAAAUAUAUUUUUAUAAAUGUUUUUUCUGUCUUGAGAUACUUAGUCAAACACAACUCUAAGUUUUUUUUUUUAAAAUGCAUUCGAGUUUUAAUGGGUUUUGAAUAACAUAAUAAGAAGCUCUCUCCUAUAAUAUUAUGAUUGAGAAACUUGUAAUUAUUAAAACUUGGAUCUUAACAUCAAUUCAAAAAAAAACUAUCCAAUACAAAUUCACUAGACAACCAAUUUUUUUGUACCCACAUAAUUGAUAUUUAAUUCUUGUUUGUAGCCAUUUAUUAUUUCCUCUCUUUUUAAUCAUGGUUUUAUAUUAUUUUAUGGUGAAAUAUUUGGACUAUCAAUAGUAAGUUACAUUCUCUUUAUCAAGAAAAUUGAGGACUUUAUAUAUAUAUAUAAGUAUCAACGAUAGCAUUUCAUCAUGUUUGAUUGCGAUUUCAUCUAUGAAGAAUUAUAUCUAUGGAGCUUUGAUCUUAUCCAAUAAUUGUUUUUCUAAUAAGACAGGAACAGAUUAAAGAGAUCAAAACUAGGAUGAUUAAAACAUUACUUGCAAUCUAUCUUAAUCUAUGCACUGUAUAUUUUUUUAUGUAUAUCUUGUAGGUUUUCAAGUACUCCAACCGAUGAGGCUGGGAAAGUUAGAGAACCUUGACCUGAGUUCCAAUCGAUUGAACAGCAACAUCUUAUCAAUUUUGAGUGGGCUUUCAUCCCUCAAGUCUUUGGAUUUGUCAGAGAAUAUGUUGACAGGAUCAGGUAUAAUACAUAGGCUUUUUUUUUUUUUUAAAUGCAUUUGAGUUUGAAUGGGUUUUGAAUAACAUAAUAAGAAGCUCUCUCCUAUAAUAUUAUAAUUAAGAAAAUUGUAAUUAUUAAAACUCUCGACUGUUUUAUCAAUAGAGAGAACAAUAUAAAACCCAUAUUUGAUAUUUAAUUCUUGUUUGUAGCCAUUUCUUAUUCCCUCUCUUUUUUAAUCAAAAUAUUAUUAUGUGGUGGAGGAUAUUGUCUUAUGGUCGUGCUGAAUGGUGAAAUAUUUGGACAUAGAAAAAAUAAAACGUUAAAAAGUUUCUAAAUUUUUUUAAAACUAAUUAAUUAGUUUUGCAAAAUUAGGCAAUAUGUUGCUAUCUAGGUUCAAUUAUUAUUCUUGUUUUAAUUACCGUUGAGAUCAUAACCUGGCUUCCAUCUUUAAUGACUUUAUAUUCAUAAAUUGUUUUUUAUUUUUAUUUUAUUUUUCCAAUUAGAAAGAUAUUUAAAAAUUGUUUCUUAAUCUUUAACGACUUUAUAUAAUUAAAUAUGCCAUCAUUCAUGUAUCAUUUGUUUAUGUAUAAUUUGAGAAUCAUAUAUCAAUUGAAACAUUAACUUAUCAAUUCUAAUUAUCUUUAGUCUCUAUCUAAGACUUACUCUUAGAAACAUUAACUCUCUUGCAGGUUUCGAGAUCAAAUCAUCACAUUUAGUGAAACUCGAGAACCUGGACCUGAGCCGUAAUAAUAUAUUCAACAACAACAUUUUAUCAUAUCUGCGUGGACUUUCUUCUCUCAAGUCUUUAGAUCUAUCAUACAAUAUGUUGCUAGGAUCGACAACUGUCAAUGGUAAAGUUGUGAAUAUCUCUUGGCAUCUUCUAUUAUUAACUCUUUUUUAACAAUACCUUUUGAAAUCUCUAGAUUUUUCAGGCAAUUUGUUGUUUCUAUCCAAAAAUCAUCUACUAUUCAAUAUCAGUUCUCUCAGGAAUACUAAUUUAAGUCAAGGCUAAUCAUAGUUUAGGUUCUUAAAAUCUUAAUUAAUAAUAUUGAAUGGAAUGGCUAUUUUAUCAUGUCUCUUCUUUUUUCUUUUUCGGGACUUUCUUCAAUUCGAGCACCCUUGAAGAAUUGUAUCUAGAUAAUACUUCUCUCCCAAUAAACUUUCUUCAGACAUUGGAGCAUUGCCUGCUCUUAAAGUUUGUCUGUUGGUGAAUGUGACCUCCAUGCACCCUUCCCGCUCAAGGUAAUUAACAACUCUCCAUCCGCCUAUAUAAUACAUCACCAAUAAAAGAUUCUUUCAACACUAUUUUGAUUGUUUCGAGAUAAAUUGUACAGGUUGGUGUGAAUUGAAGAAUCUGAAGCAGUUAGAUCUCUUGGAAAUAAUUUAGGAGGUUCACUCCCAGAUUGUUUGGGGAACUUGUCAUCUUACAACUAUUAGAUGUUUCUGAAAACCAGUUUACUGGAAAUAUUGCCUCUAGUCCUCUUACCAACCUCAUAUCCCUUAAAUUCCUCUCACUAUCAAAUAACCUCUUUGAAGUUCCCAUUUCAAUGAAGCCUUUUAUGAACCACUCAAGCCUCAAGUUCUUCUCCAGUGAGAACAACAGACUAGUAACGGAACCUGCUGCCUUUGAUAAUUUGAUUCCAAAGUUCCAACUAGUCUUUUUCUGCUUUAAGUAGUCCAACAUCGGAAGCACUCAAUGUAGAAUUCCGACUUCCUCUAUUACCAAUACGACUUAAGAGUCCUUGAUCUCUCCCACAACAACAUCACGGAAUGUUUCCAUCAUGGUUGCUUAAGAACAAUACACGAUUGAGCAACUAUAUCUGAGCGAGAACUCCUUUGUUGGUACUUUGCAGUUGCAAGAUCACCCAUAUCCGAAUAUGACCGAAUUAGAUAUAUCCAACAACAACAUGAACGGUCAAAUUCCAAAAGAUAUUUGUUUGAUCUUUCCAAAUCUAGAACCUUAAGGAUGGCUAAGAAUGGAUUCACAGGUUGUAUUCCUUCUUGUUUAGGAAAUAUUAGUUUGGAGAAUUUUAGAUUUAUCCAACAAUCAAUUCUUACAGUAAAACUAGAAAACUAACAACAAUAUGGUUCUCAAGCUGUCAAACAACAAUUUGGUGGGCAAUACCGACCUAGUGUUCAAUUCUUCUACCAACAAUUUCUCUACCUAAUGGUAACAACUUUUGGGGUCAGAUAUCAGAUUUUCCAUUAUAUGGGUGGAAUGAAUGGGUGUAUUGGAUUUGAGUAACAAUCAAUUUUCAGGCAUGCUUCCAAGGAGUUUCGUUAAUUUACGCCUUGGAGUGCUUGAUUUGUCCAAAAACCAUUUUAAGGGUCGAUCCCAAGAGAUUUUUGUAAGCUUGACCAGCUUGAAUAUUUGACCUUUCUGAGAACAACUUGUCUGGAUAUAUGCCAUCUUGUUUCAAUCCACCACAAAUAACCCAUAUUCAUCUAUCCAAAAAUAGAUUGAGCGGUCCAUUAAAUAUGGAUUUUAUAACAGCUCUUCCCUGGUUACGAUGGAUCUUCGAGAUAACACUUCACCAGCUCCAUUCCAAAUUGGAUUGGCAAUCUUUCAUCAUUGAGUGUUCUUCUUCUGAGGGCUAAUCACUUUGAUGGUGAGCUCCCUGUUCAGUUAUGCUUGUUAGAACAGCAUUUUGGAUGUUUCACAAACCAGCUCUCUGGUCCACUACCCUCUGUUUAGGCAAUCUACUUUCAAGGAAAGUUCCCAGAAAGUAUUGGUUCCCAAGCUGGUUAUCGAUCAGAUUACAUGAAAAUGAUUAUAUGAAAAAUGGUCCACACUAUGGGAAGUAUUCAGAUUGGAAAAGGUUUUACUGAACUUUACAGAAGAAGUGAUAGAAUUUACAACUAAAAAUAUGUAUUAUGGUUACAAGGGGAAAGUUCUCAGCUACAUGCUUGGUAUUGAUCUCUCCAAUAACAACUUGUAGGAGCAAUCCCACCAGAAUUUGGAAACUUAAGUGAGUACUGUCUUUAAACUUAUCACACAACAAUCUCACUGGAUCUAUCCCUGCAACAUUCUCAAACCUAAAGCAGAUUGAGAGUUUGGAUCUUUCUUACAACAACUUGAAUGGUGCCAUCCCUCCACAACUUAUUGAAAUUACCACACUGGAAGUUUUUAGUGUGGCGCAUAAUAACUUGUCAGGUAGGACACCGAGAGAAAAUAUCAGUUUGGGACCUUCGAUGAAACUGUUAUGAAGGAAAUCCUUUCUUGUGUGGACCUCCAUUGCGAAACAAUUGUAGUGAGGAAGCAGUGCUGUCACAGCCAGUGCCUGAUGAUGAACAAGGAGAUGAUGGUUUCAUAGACAUGGAG